UAUAAUUAGAUGGACCAACCUAUUUCUCUAAUAAUUCUAAGAAUCAUCCUAUCGAUAACAUGUGUUUACAAAAAGAAGUUGUAAUGUUUCACAAAUAAUAUAUAGGGGAUUAGAUAUGGGAUAAUUUGAAAAUACCAUAUUUAUGAUUUUAAAUUUAAAAAGAACGAUUUUUUAAUUAAAUUUCGAGAACUAUACUUUUCUAUAAAUGAUAAGACAUUUUUAUCCAUAUUUUACCUUGUUAAAAAAUUAAACUAAAUUUUAAAUUUGUCACUGAGUAUUUCAUUAAAUUAAAAAUUGAAAUGGACUUAAAACGUGGUCCAAUUCAAGGAUGACCCAAUUCAAAAAGUUCAUUACAGUAACAGGAAAGAGCGAAGAGCCCUUUCGGCUAAAUCGUCGGCAAUAAAGUUUUCCGAUCGAGAGAGAAGAGAGAAAAAGAUUGUCACAAACUCGGAUAUAGCUCUGAUGAGCGUUGAGUUGUUGGAGAAAAAAAUUAGGGUUGAAUCGCAUCGCUUCGCAAGGGCCUCUGCAAUUAGUGGUGAGUUGACGAAGGUUUGGAUCACCGGCCCCUGAGAUGGAGCUGCCAGAGGUGGACCCGAGAAGACCCAACCUAGUCCCGAUGUCUUCUUGUCUGAAUUCCAAGCGGCGUCUGUUUUACAAGUGAUCAAUCUAAAGACCUCUUCGCUACUAGAUGAUUGUCCGAUAGAGGCUCGAGGUCCAUAAGUUUCCUCCGGAGAGAUCGCUUAACACUAGUGUGUUCCGUGCUGGCCAAAUGGCCUUACAAAUCCACGGAAAGAUAUUGAAUGCAAUUCCUCAUGGAAGAAAACAGAUUGCUGUUUGGAAUUUGACAAUGGCCUUUUUGACAGAAGCAUCCGCAGCGCUAUGUGAACUGCUUGACGUUAAGGAACACACUUCUAGACCUUUACAGCAAAAGGGCAUGUAAAAAAAGUAUGUAUGUUGGAUUCAAGACUCUUAAAUCUGAGGCAAGGAGCUGCCGAUAAUAAUCCUCUUUUUUGAGCUACAGACCAGAGAAAAGCAUGUUAAUAUUUUAAAAUAACAAAUUAAAUAUUUUUAGGCUUGUCUCUAA